rnacentral:antisense_RNA from 1 species
GGAAAUACUUCCAGGCCUUAGAAAGGACAUCCUUUGGACACAUGUAAAAAGCUAUCUUGUUCGCCUGUUAUUCCCACUGACCCGUCUGAGUGAUCACCCAGGAGCGCGGUGGCAGCAAGCUGAGCUCACCGGAUUUGGGACAAGGAUUUUAAAGGCAGCUACAAAGCGGAGCUCUAUUUGCUGAUGAUAGUCUCUGUUCAGCUCUUUAAAAUGACAUGUGACUCACCAUGGUAAUUUUUCUCAAAUUAAAGACACAUUUUGGGUUGUGCAA